UACGAAGGGGGCUAGCGUUGCUCGGAAUCACUGGGCGUAAAGGGUGCGUAGGCGGGUCUUUAAGUCAGGGGUGAAAUCCUGGAGCUCAACUCCAGAACUGCCUUUGAUACUGAGGAUCUUGAGUCCGGGAGAGGUGAGUGGAACUGCGAGUGUAGAGGUGAAAAUUCGUAGAUAUUCGCAAGAACACCAGUGGCGAAGGCGGCUCACUGGCCCGGUACUGACGCUGAGGCACGAAAGCGUGGGGAGCAAACAGG
rnacentral:rRNA from 1 species